rnacentral:rRNA from 1 species
AUGAACGCUGGCGGCGUGCCUAAUACCUGCAAGUCGAGCGAACAGAUGAGGAGCUUGCUCCUCUGACGUUAGCGGCGGACGGGUGAGUAACACGUGGAUAACCUACCUAUAAGACUGGGAUAACUUCGGGAAACCGGAGCUAAUACCGGAUAAUAUAUUGAACCGCAUGGUUCAAUAGUGAAAGACGGUUUUGCUGUCACUUAUAGAUGGAUCCGCGCCGCAUUAGCUAGUUGGUAAGGUAACGGCUUACCAAGGCGACGAUGCGUAGCCGACCUGAGAGGGUGAUCGGCCACACUGGAACUGAGACACGGUCCAGACUCCUACGGGAGGCAGCAGUAGGGAAUCUUCCGCAAUGGGCGAAAGCCUGACGGAGCAACGCCGCGUGAGUGAUGAAGGUCUUCGGAUCGUAAAACUCUGUUAUUAGGGAAGAACAAAUGUGUAAGUAACUAUGCACGUCUUGACGGUACCUAAUCAGAAAGCCACGGCUAACUACGUG